AUCCAGACUCCUACGGGAGGCAGCAGUGGGGAAUAUUGCACAGUGGGGGAAACCCUGAUGCAGCGACGCCGCGUGAGUGAAGAAGUAAUUCGUUAUGUAAAGCUCUAUCAGCAGGGAAGAAAAUGACGGUACCUGACUAAGAAGCCCCGGCUAACUACGUGCCAGCAGCCGCGGUAAUGCGUAGGGGGCAAGCGUUAUCCGGAUUUACUGGGUGUAAAGGGAGCGUAGACGGCAUGGCAAGUCAGAUGUGAAAGCCCGGGGCUCAACCCCGGGACUGCAUUUGAAACUGUCAGGCUGGAGUGCAGGAGAGGUAAGUGGAAUUCCUAGUGUAGCGGUGAAAUGCGUAGAUAUUAGGAAGAACACCAGUGGCGAAGGCGGCUUUCUGGACUGAAACUGACGCUGAGGCACGAAAGCGUGGGGAGCGAACAGGAUUAGAUACCCCCGUA
rnacentral:rRNA from 1 species